rfam:Populus trichocarpa scaffold_17_contig_363, whole genome shotgun sequence.
UCUAGAACUCGAGAUAUGGGUUGAACACUGAGCAGUGUCUAGGCUGCAGGACAGAUUCUGACGUCUCUUUUGUUGCUACCAUUUGAACUUGAAAAUGACUGUUUGGAAUCUUGGACUCUCAUGAAAGUUUUAGGCCUAUGUCUUAACUUUCCAUC